CUUGACCUCGGAUCAGGUAGGGAUACCCGCUGAACUUAAGCAUAUCAAUAAGCGGAGGAAAAGAAACCAACAGGGAUUGCCCCAGUAACGGCGAGUGAAGCGGCAGCAGCUCAAAUUUG
rnacentral:rRNA from 1 species